GUGCCAGCAGCCGCGGUAAUACGGAGGAUGCAAGCGUUAUCCGGAAUUAUUGGGCGUAAAGCGUCCGCAGGUGGUUAAUCAAGUCUAUUGUCAAAGUGCGAGGCUAAACUUCGUAAAGGCAGUGGAAACUGAUUGACUAGAGUUUGGUAGGGGUAGAGGGAAUUCCCAGUGUAGCGGUGAAAUGCGUAGAUAUUGGGAAGAACACCGGUGGCGAAAGCGCUCUACUGGGCCUGAACUGACACUGAGGGACGAGAGCUAGGGGAGCGAAAGGGAUUAGAAACCCCAGUAGUCC
rnacentral:rRNA from 1 species